rnacentral:rRNA from 1 species
GACGAACGCUGGCGGCGUGCUUAACACAUGCAAGUCGAACGGUGAUGGGAGCUUGCUCCUUGAUCAGUGGCGAACGGGUGAGUAACACGUGAGCAACCUGCCCUUGACUCUGGGAUAACAGUUGGAAACAGCUGCUAAUACCGGAUAUGACCUCCGCGGGCAUCCGUGGGGGUGGAAAGCUCCGACGGUCAAGGAUGGGCUCGCGGCCUAUCAGCUUGUUGGUGAGGUGAUGGCUCACCAAGGCGACGACGGGUAGCCGGCCUGAGAGGGCGACCGGCCACACUGGGACUGAGAUACGGCCCAGACUCCUACGGGAGGCAGCAGUGGGGAAUAUUGCGCAAUGGGCGAAAGCCUGACGCAGCAACGCCGCGUGCGGGAUGACGGCCUUCGGGUUGUAAACCGCUUUCAGCAGGGACGAAGUGUGAAUGACGGUACCUGCAGAAGAAGCACCGGCUAACUACGUGCCAGCCGCCGCCGUAAGAC